UACGUAGGGGGCAAGCGUUGCCCGGAAUCAUUGGGCGUAAAGCGCGUGUAGGCGGUUCGGUAAGUCUGCUGUGAAAGUCCAGGGCUCAACCCUGGGAAGCCGGUGGAUACUGUCGGACUAGAGUACGGAAGAGGCGAGUGGAAUUCCCGGUGUAGCGGUGAAAUGCGCAGAUAUCGGGAGGAACACCAAUUGCGAAGGCAGCUCGCUGGGACGUCACUGACGCUGAGACGCGAAAGCGUGGGGAGCAAACAGG
rnacentral:rRNA from 1 species